rnacentral:misc_RNA from 1 species
CCCAGCUUGGUAUUGGGUGGUCGCCCUUCUCCCUCGGGUGAAUGGUGCCCCCGAAAUGUAGCGGCGGUGCGGCCGGGCUCCCUAGCGCAGUGACUUUUAUAAUUCUCGCUACAAGGAGCCCGCGACCCGUCCCGGCCGGAUAACCCUCAAAUUUUAUCACGAUUGACCUCGGAUCAGGUAGGGAUACCCGCUGAACUUAA